UCUUUUACCUGGCCAAUUCUAGGUUUAAAAUUAUUGCUUAUCUGAGAAGAUUCUGUUCCUUGCUCAUUGACUAAUGUUUUGUUUUUGUCUCAAGUUGAUUAAGCUUCGUUCUUGUGAGACAUCAGAAAGGAACUUUCAAACUGUUUUAUGGACUCUGGAUCCUUAUUUUUGUUCCGCUGACAGCCUGAUCAGAUAUUGUCCUCACAGCUUCAUGCGAACACUGUCCACCCUCCUCCAAACCUCUUUGAACUCACCUGCUAUGCCGUGCUGCGUAGCCACUGCUCACCAGGAUCACAACCUCUCUCCCUGGCAGACUUAACUCUACUUCAUUCUUCCUGCUUCUUCAGUUCCCUGCACAUGGGUUCCAAAAUAAAAGUUUACUAAACGUU